rnacentral:lncRNA from 1 species
CCUAUGUCCAAGAAAAUUAAGGAAUGCAGACACAAGGGUCGGGGUGGAGUCAAAGUUUAAUAAGCAAAAAAGAAAGCUUUCUGCAGCAGAGAGGGGAGUCCAAGUGGAUUGCCGGGUUACAGCUGAAUUUAAAAGCGUUUUAUAAGAAACUGCUCUCUUCCCUGUAACUGUUGGAAUAACUUUUCUUACCAGUAAAGCUGUCUGUGCAAUUCUUCUUCUCUUAUGCAGCUGUGGGUAUGUCUCUAGGCAAGCACAAAGCCCCACUUCUCUUGUUUGUAUAACUGUGGGUUUGUUUUAGGGGUGGGGCCGCUUUAUAGGGUUUGGGAAGAUAAUGGAAAAUUACAGUCAAAGGGGGUUGUUCUCUGGUGGGCAGGGGCGGGGGUCACAAGGUGCUCAGUGGGGGAGCUUCUGAGCCAGGAGAAGGAAAUUCACAGGGUUAAUCACUCAGUUAAGGUGGGGCAGGAACAAAUCACAAUGGUGGAAUAUCAUCAGUUAAGGCGUGGCAGGGCCUUUUCACUUCUUUUGUGAUUCUUCAGUUACUUCAGGCCAUCUGGGCGUAUACAUGCAAGUCACAGGGGAUGCGAUGGCUUGGCUUGGGCUCAGAGACCUGACAUUCCUGCCUUCUGAUAUUAAUAAGAAAAAUAAAACAAAAUAGUGUUGAAGUGUUGGGGUGGCAAAAAUUUUUGGGGGGUGGUAUGGAGAGAGAAUGGGCGAUGUUUCUCAGGGCUGCUUCAAGCGGGAUUAGGGGCAGCGUGGGAACCUAGAGUGGGAGAGAUUAAGCUGAAGGGAGGUCUUGUGGUAAGGGGUGAUAUUGUGGGGAUGUUAGAAGAGACAUUUCUUGUAUAGAAUGAUUGGUGAUGGCCUGGAUACGGUUUUGGAUGAAUUGAGAAACUAAAUGGAAGAUACAAGGUCCGAAUAAAAGAAGGAGAAAAAUGGGUAUUAAAGGACUAAGAAUUGGGAGGCCCUAGGACAUCCAAUUAGAGAGUGCCUAAGGGGUUCAGCAUAAUUACUUGCUUGGUUGGCAAGUUUUUGGGCUCUAUCCUUGAGUUUUUUUAUGUUGUCAUACACCAGGCCAGAUUGAUUUAGGUAAAAACAACACUCUUCAUUUAAGAAUAUGCAGAGUCCUCCUUUUUCAGCAGUGAGUAAGUCAAGGCCUCGGCGGUUUUGGAGGACAACUGCAGCUAAAGAGUCAACUUGGAGUACUGAUAAAGUUUGUGACAUGUCUGUGAUGCUAGCAGAGAAGUCAUUAGAGAGGCUACGGAAGGUCGAGACAGAAGUUGAAAUGCCUGCUAUUCCAGUACUGAGAGCAAUAGUGGAGGCAGAAAGUCCUAAACCGACCAUCAAGGGAAUUAGUGGAAUAACUCUUCUUUGUCAUGUCGGUGUCAUGAGGGGAACAGGGAGCUCUUCGGUCCUAUUUGCAAAUUGAAUUUUGGGGGAAAGGAAGACUAGUGUGCAUGUGCCUGUCCAAUUAGCAGGUAGACACAUGUAGGUAGAGGAACCACAGAGGAAGAAGAGACCUUGUGCAAGGCAAAACUGGAGAUGUAAAGUAAAAAGAUGAGAAGGAGUGCUGAAAGGGGUGUCUUGUACCUAGAGUCCUAGGGAUCCAGCUAGGGCGGCAGCUGUCAGAGGUUGUAAUGGGGACUGAUGGGGUAACUGCGUAGAGGGGGAGGUUCAAUUUUCAUGGUGUAUGAGAAAACAUUGAGUAUCUAUGAGCAACCUUUCACUGUUAUUUUCGGGGCUGGAUAUAAGUAAACAAGAAUAGGGCCUGGGAGGAGAGUCUGAUGAGCAAGGGGAAGGUAGCCAAGGAUGGAGUUCAAUACAGGGUAAGUGUCUUCCUAAGCAAUAAUUACUGCUAACAUUUUUAAGUUUAUCAGUAUUGAUAGAGGGCUUGUCUGUAAUAUGGAGCUGGAAGGCUCCAAUUGUUUCAGUGAUGUGUGUAAUUGGGCUUCGGAGAUGAAGAGUAAAGGAACAUCGAGAGGGUGAAAGAUUACCUAGGGGAAUUCCAGUGGGUCUUUGCUGAGAGAUACAUAAAGGAGCGGCCACAGGAAUAGUAGUUUGUGUUGUGAGAGGUCCGAAUAUGGGGGGAGUAGAGUUAAUAUAAGGAGAAAGGUUUUUUAAAUAAGUGCGAAGGAGGGCGGCAGCUUGCUGAUGUGAAAUGUCUGGGGAAGUCUUGCUGGACCUGUCUAGAGAGUAAAUGAGUUCUUCAGGAGGGUAAAGAUGAGGGCUGCUAAAGGAAGUUCAGAGGUGUAGGGAGACGGGAGAUAUUGCCCAGUCUGUCUGUAAGGCGGGGACAGCUGUGUAGGCACUGGAAGAAAGGGAAAUGCAAAGCCAGCAGUUGUUCACUAAGGAGGGACUAGAAGUGGCUAGGAGAGAAUGGGUAAGGUUGAUAGUGUGGUGGAGAUAGCUGGGGAGAGGUAGAGGGUGGCAUAAGAAUGGGAACGAGAAUAAGAGUGAGUAUAAAAGUAAAGAAUAGAACUUCAUCAGGGUGGAAGUAUUGGAGGGUGCCUUGCCAGCAAAGAUCAUCUACCCACUCUAAGAGGGAGUUAAGAGUGGCAGUUUGGGGUUAGCACCAAGAGAUAUCAGCUGUGAUGGCUUGAAGAAACAGUGUAAACCGGCGGUGUAAAGAAGAGUAGGGCAUUUAUAAGUAGUUGAGAAUGGAGAAUAGGAGUAUGACCAGACAGAAGAUAGUAGGGAUGACUAGUUUUUUUGGGCUCGGCCUAAGUGGUUGGGGUGACUUCGUAAAGCCCUGUUGCAAAAAGUAGGGUAAGGACGAACAGACCUAAUAGAAUGAAGGGAUGUAUUAGGCUCAUAAGGGUUAUUACUGCUCUUCAGAAAUAUGAGUGAGUUUAAGGGAAGUAGGGGAGAGUACUUGCGGCUUCCAGGAGGAAGAGGAGGGAUUAGGCUGGCUGUCCGAUGGACACAGCUUUAUUCUGGAAUGGUGAACCUAGUGGGGAGGAUCCUGCAGGCAGACGGCAGUCGGGGUACUAUAGAAGACGAGGUAGCAUCCGGUCCAUCGAGGUUGUAGAGUUUGAGGGGUCAGAUUCUUAACAAGAACUGAUCAUCCAGCUAGGAUGUCUCCAUAUGGCUGGGGAUCUGGAGUAGGCAAGAGAAGAUUAGCAGCCUGGUGAAUUUCCUGUCUAGCCUGCUGGAGGACUGGAAGAUAGUCACCUAGAGGGCUGGUGUCUGGGAUGAGGUUGGGGCCAAGCAAGAAAGUGUGUCCAUAUAAAAGUUCAAAUGGACCGUACCCUGUAGCAUCUCAAGGACAGGCUCUAAUUCUGAGAAGAGCAAGAGGUAAAAGUACUGUCCAAUCCUUUUUAAGUUGGAGGCUGAGCUUGGUGAGGUUUACCUUUAAAAGACCAUUAGUCCAUUCUACCUUUCCUGAAGAUUGAGGAUGGUAAGGGAUAUGAAGGUUCCACUGAAUACCAAGAGCCUGAGAAACUGCUUGGGUGAUUUGACUAGUAAAGGCUGGUCUGUCAUCAGACUGUAUAGAGGUGGGAAGCCUAAACUGAGGAAUUAUGUCUGACAGAGGGGAAGAAAUGACUGUGGUGGCCUUCUCAGACCCUGUAGGAAAGGCCUCUACUUAUCUAGUGAAAGUGUCUACUUAGACUAAGAGGUAUUUUAGUUAUCUGACUUGGGGCAUGUUGAGUGAAGCUAAUUUGCCAGUCCUGGGUGGGGGCAAAACCUUGAGCUUGAUGUGUAGGGAAGGGAGGGGGCCUGAAUAAUCCUUGAGGAGUAGUAGAAUAGCAGAUAGAAUAGCAGAUGGAACACUUGAGAAGUUAUUUCCUUGAGGAUAGAUUUCUACAAUGGAAAGGAAAUGAAAGGUUCAAAGAGGCGGGCUAGUGGCUUGUACUAUAGCAUAGCCUGCCUUUGCUGAUGUGUGGUGAUUAGGCCUGGUGGAACUGCCAUCAAUAAAUCAAGCGUGAUCAGGGUGAGAAACAGGGAAGAAGGAAAUGUGGGGAAAUAGGAUGAACAUCAGGUGGAUCAGAGAGAUGCAAUCAUGAGGGUCAGGUGUGGUAUCAGGAAUACUGUGGGAGGCUGGAUUGAAGUCCAGGCCAGGAACAAUGGUAAUUGUGGGACUUAACAAAGAGUGAGUACAGCUGAAGGAGCUGGGGAACAGAAAGUAUAUGCGUCAGGUAUGAGGAAGAAAAUAGAUUUUGGAAGUUAUGAGAAAUGUAGAGAGUGAGUUGAGCAUUGUUUGUGAUUUUUAGGGCCUCUAAAAUUAUUAAAGCAGCAGCAGCUGCUGCACACAGACAUGAGGGCUAGGCUAAAACAGUAAGGUCAAGUUGUUUCGACAGAAAGGCUACAGGGUGCGGUCCUGGCUCUUGUGUAAGAAUUCUGACGGCACUAACCAUGCCUAGGAAGGAAAGGAGUUGUUGUUUUGUAAGGGAUUGAGGUUUGGGAGAUUAAUUGGACAUGAUCAGCAGGGAGAGCAUGUGUGUUUUUAUGAGAAUUAUGCAGAGAUAGGUAACAGAUGGAGAAGAAAUUUGAGCUUUGGAGGGGGAUACCUGAUAUCCUUUGGAGAAUAAAUGCUGAAGAAGCAGAAGUGUGUCUUGUUGAGAAGAUUCAAAGGAGGGGCUACAAAGAAGAAGGUCAUCAAUAUAUUGAAUAAGGUGAGAAGCAGAGGGGUGGAAAGAAAGUAGAUCAUGAGAAAGAGCUUGGCUGAAGUAAAUGAGGGCUGUCCCUGAAACCUUGCGGCAGCACAGCCCAGAUGUUUGUUAUGAGGAUGGUUGCAGCUCUGUUCCUGGAGGAACAUGGGGAAAUAUCGGAAACUUCCCUGGGCCCAAGCAGAGGAACAGAGGACCCUGAGUGAACAACAGAGAAGAAAUGUGUUUCCUUCCUGUAUCUUCUGUGUAGCGAAGGGCAUCACCACUCAUCAGUUGACAAAGCCAGACAGAAGUGAAAGUACUUGUUGAAUGAGUUCUUGAUUCUUCUUUUACACACCUACUGAAUCACUGAGGUUUUGACAUAAUUUGGUGUCAGAAGUAGAAUUGAAGCUGGUUAGUUGGACAGAUGGACAACCCCUGAAAUUGAGUGAAUUGCCUGUGCUGAGCCCUUUUGAGCUCUCCACCUCCGUGGCUGACCUUUUCUACCCUGCUGAAUCUCCUCUCAGAUUCCUGGACUCCUUUUUGGUAUCUUCACCCUCAGCAAUCCUCCUGAAAGAUGCUCAUCCUGAUUGCAGCACUAUUCACAAUAGCAAAGACGUGGAACCAACCCAAAUUCCCAUCAAUGAUAGACUGGAUAAAGAAAAUGUGGGACAUAUACACCAUGGAAUACUAUGCAGCCAUAAAAAGGGUGGCCAAACGUCCAGGAUGAGAGUUCUGUGGAAACAGAAGACAAAAAUACAAAUAUGUCCAGGAAAAUGCUGCCAGCGGCACAAUAUCUACUGCAUUUCUCUUUCAGGGCUAAGGAAUUGGGUUACUUUGUGCCCCGCCUCUGCCCGCAGGGAAGACCAUUCCUGGAUUUACCCUUCGAGGGAGCAGUAGAAGCGGAUCUGGCAUGAAGUGGGGGACACAACUCCCCUUAUGCUCCCAGCACAUCUCCUGGGCUGAGGCCAUCUCAGAUUGGAAGACCAGCUUUCCAAAGCAAGUCUCCUCCACAUCAUGAAGGAGAAAAAGAGUAGCAGAUAAGAAAAAAACCAACUCGCUGAAACACUGAAACUCUCUCUGCUUGUGAGAUCAAGAAAAGCCGGCUGAAAUCAGUUGGAACCAAGGUGGCCAACUGGAGCUUUUGCAAAACGAGGUUGCUGACGUCAGAGCCUGAAUUUCCACUGCAGGUUUCAUUCUAACUCCCUUUGAAUUUGCACAUGGGACCCAUGAGGUAGCAUGGAGACAUAACUGCGCAUGCCCAAGACUUUUCAGCCCUCCCCUUUCCGUCCACCAAUCACCUUCUGAUCCCAGAAUCCACCCUCUGAACGUUUUCUAGUAAAAUACUGCCUUGAAGCCAGCCUGGGGAAACAGAUUUGAGCUUGACUCUUGUCUCCUUGUGAGUUGACUUUUGACAUAAAGCUUUUCUUUUUUUAAAACCCUGGUGUCAUAGUACUGGUUUCCAGCACAUUGGGCAGUGAGUCCCUUUUGCUGGAUAACAGUGCUGAUGGAGAUGAUGGGGAAGCCAGAGCCCCCAGGCUACACCUUGGUGCUCUGCUAACUGGACCAAGGUCUGACUCCAAAGUCAGAGGGCAAUUCGAGAUUCUUCUCUUCGUGCCACCCAUAGGAUAUCACAUUAAACUUUAGCCUAAUGCUGAGGGAAUGUGGGAAUUUGCCCAAUAGUAAUGAUGCCCAGUGGAAACUAGGUUUCUCCUGCGGAUUACCCUCUGCCCACACAUUCCCCACCCUGUGCCUUGCGCAUCCAGUGGCUACCAGUGUAUCCCACCUAAUCCAACAUCUUGCUGCAAUCCUGAAAGGGCUUCUAGACUGGCCUCCAUCACUAAACCAACAGGAAUCCUCCACUAUGAACCAGCAGGGUUCUGCGUUGUUGUUGCUAUGGUGACAGUUAUCCAAGAGUACAUCAAGAGAAAAAUAGCCACGUUUUAGCAGGUGCACAGUCCUAGAACAACAUACUGGUACUGGCUCAUAAAGUUUUCUAGUUUUCCCUAAGGCUUUUAAAAUUAGGAACCAAUAUGUAACCGCUCGGAACACAAUUUCCCUAGCAACCAGAGAAAUGCCAGUCCCUCCUGUUAGGGAGGUUAAAAAUAACAUUGCAUGUGCCACUGUAACCAACUGGAAUCUCCAAAUUCCCUUCUGUAACAGCCCCCUGGUCACAGCAGAUGUCCAACUCCCCAAAUCUCAUCUAUCAUCAACAUAGCCUUUCCAAGGCAUGAAUGCAAUUCACCUUCAUAGAAUUACUCAGGUCUCUUUCUGCCUACAGAAAAAAAGAGUCAUAGUCAGCUUGGUCUGCAUAAGCAGGGGCUACCCUCCUUUCCUGCCCCUUUCCCACAUAGCACCCAUGUUCUAGGCAUAAGCAUUUCCUCAAAAUUCUCUGACCAGACCAUAUGCCUGCCUGCCUUCUUUCAUUCUUUCUCUUCUCUUCCUUCCUUUUCUUUUUCUUCCUUCCUUCCUUCCUUCUUUCCUUUCUUCCUCCCUCCCUCUCUCCUUUUUCCCUUCUUUCCUUUCCUCCUUCUUUCCUCCCUCCCUCCCUUUUUCCUUCCUUCCUUUCCUUUCCUUCCUCCCUUUCUUCCUUUCAAUGUGAUUAGCAUACAAAAACAUAAAAAUAUCUUAAGUGAUCAGUUCAAAGAAUUUUGACAAUUGUGUAUGCAAGGCAAAAACACGGAACAUUUCUACCACUCUAGAAAGUUCUCUCAUGCACCUUUUCAGUCAGUCUACCACCCUUCAACCCCAAGGCAACCAUUUUCUGACAUCAAUUGCCACAGAUUAGUUUUGUCUGUUUAUAAACUUCAUAAAUGGGAUCAAACUGAAUGUAUUAUUUUGCUUAUUUCAUUGUGUGACUAUGCCACAUUGUAAAAAUCUAUUCUUCUGUUGAUGAACAUUUGGUCUGUUUCCAGUUUGGGAUUAUCUGUUUCCAGUUUGGGAUAAGGCUCUUACGAAUAUUUUUGUGCUAGCCUUUUUGUGGACACUUGUUUUUAUAUAUUUUGGGCAAAUAUCUAGGAGUGGAAUUGCUAGGUCACAAGGUAGUUGUAUGGUUAAAUUUACUAGAAACCAUCACACAGUUCUCCAAAGUGGUUAUGCCUUUUGACUUUUUCAUCAUCAUCUAUGAGAAUUCCAGUUGUUCCACAUCAUUACUAAAAUUUAGUAUUGUCUGUUUUUUUCUUUUAUUUUAGCCAUUCUAGUGUGUGAAUAGUAGAAUCUCAUUGAGGCUUUAAUUUGCAUUUUCCUGAUGACUAAUAAUGUGAGCAUAUUGUCACGUGUUUGUUGUUCAUUUGUACAUGUUCUUU